UGGCCCGUGGUGUAAUCGGCAACACACCGGAUUUUGGUUCCGGCAUUCUAGGUUCAAGUCCUAGCGGGCCAG
rnacentral:tRNA from 1 species